rnacentral:rRNA from 1 species
AGCGAACGCUGGCGGCAGGCCUAACACAUGCAAGUCGAACGAAGUCUUCGGACUUAGUGGCGGACGGGUGAGUAACACGUGGGAACGUACCUUUUGGUUCGGAACAACUCAGGGAAACUUGAGCUAAUACCGGAUGAGCCCUUAGGGGGAAAGAUUUAUCGCCGAAAGAGCGGCCCGCGUUAGAUUAGCUAGUUGGGGAGGUAAAGGCUCACCAAGGCUACGAUCUAUAGCUGGUCUGAGAGGAUGAUCAGCCACACUGGGACUGGGACACGGCCCAGACUCCUACGGGAGGCGCGAGAGGGUAAUCUAGCACAGCGGGCGGAGGCUUGACGGCGCUCGGGUGCGAAAAUGAUGAAAGUAGUAAGAUUCUAAAAGCCUUUCACCGGUGAAGGUAUUGACGGUAGCUGAACAAGAAGCCCCGGCUAACUUCGUGCCAGCAGCCGCCGUAACAC